rnacentral:rRNA from 1 species
GAUGAACGCUAGCGGCAGGCCUAAUACAUGCAAGUCGGACGGGAUUCAGGAGCUUGCUUCUGAUGAGAGUGGCGCACGGGUGCGUAACACGUAUGUAACCUACCUUUAUCAGGGGGAUAGCCUCUCGAAAGAGAGAUUAAGCCCGCAUAAAAUCACAGCACAGCAUUGUGUAAUGAUCAAAUAUUUAUAGGAUAAAGAUGGGCAUGCGGAACAUUAGCUAGAUGGCGGGGUAACGGCCCACCAUGGCGACGAUGUUUAGGGGAUCUGAGAGGAUGGCCCCCCACACUGGUACUGAGACACGGACCAGACUCCUACGGGAGGCAGCAGUAAGGAAUAUUGGUCAAUGGGCGGAAGCCUGAACCAGCCAUGCCGCGUGCAGGAAGACGGCCCUACGGGUUGUAAACUGCUUUUAUACGGGAAUAAACCCAGAUACGUGUAUCUGGCUGAAUGUACUGUGAGAAUAAGGAUCGGCUAACUCCGUG